AUACAGGGGGUGCGAGCGUUAAUCGGAAUUACUGGGCGUAAAGAGUACGUAGGCGGUUGCUUAAGUCAGAUGUGAAAGCCCCGGGCUCAACCUGGGAACUGCAUUUGGAACUGAGUGACUAGAGUUUAAGAGAGGGGAGUAGAAUUCCGGGUGUAGCGGUGAAAUGCGUAGAGAUCCGGAGGAAUACCAGUGGCGAAGGCGGCUCCCUGGCUUAAAACUGACGCUGAGGUACGAAAGCGUGGGUAGCAAACAGGAUUAGAUACCCUAGUAGUCC
rnacentral:rRNA from 1 species